UACGGGGGGAGCAAGCGUUGUUCGGAUUUACUGGGCGUAAAGAGCUCGUAGGCGGUUUGGUAAGUCGGAUGUGAAAUCUCCAGGCUCAACCUGGAGGGGUCAUUCGAUACUGCCAUGACUAGAGUUCGGUAGGGGAGUGUGGAAUUCCUGGUGGAGCGGUGAAAUGCGCAGAGAUCAGGAGGAACACCCGUAGCGAAGGCGGCACUCUGGGCCGAUACUGACGCUGAGGAGCGAAAGCGUGGGGAGCGAACAGG
rnacentral:rRNA from 1 species